rnacentral:lncRNA from 1 species
GUUAUAUACCAACUUUAGACUUCAUUCACCCCUUAACUGACAGGGCACUGGAGGCUACAUGCUUGGUGAACCAGCCGAUUGUCAGUCUUGCAUCACUUAUCGUGCCCCUUUCUUAUACAGAUGUGCAGGUCGGACAUGAGGCAAUAAAAGCUUGGCCCACCAACCACAUGGCUCCUACCGCCCUGUCAACGUAGGGAUGAACGGAGCGCAGGGGCGGCAGAGUUGGUGGGGUCUGCUGAGUGCUUCUGGCGUAGCAGCUCGGUAGUGCCGUGCUGUUUGAAGUCAUCACAGAUAUAAACUACACGUUGCAGCAACUCACAAUCGCAUUCCUGCCCGUCAUGUCGAACAGCGGAGCGCUAAUUUCAGUUUGAGGUCUGCACUCUUACUACAAUGCAGAUGGUGACAGCAUCAGGCUGCACUCGGUUACCGUCGUGAAUCAUGGACCAAGACUGCACUCUUAGGCCCACUCCCUUUUGGUGGAUCAGGUCUUGCCACCUUCCCCUUUCGUGGUUUCCUGUCG